CCCUUAGAUGUCCUGGGCCGCACGCGUGCUACAAUGACACAUUCAACGAGUGUUUCCUGAUCCGAAAGGAUUCGGGUAAUCUUUUUAGUGUGUGUCGUGUUAGGGAUAGAUCUUUGUAAUUAUGGAUCUUGAACGAGGAAUUCCUAGUAAGCGCAAGUCAUCAGCUUGUGCUGAUUUCGUCCCUGCAAAAUGUACACACCGCCCGUCGCUAUUGCCGAUUGAGUGCUCAGGUGAACCUUCUUGAUUGCUGCAAAGUGAAAAAUUAAGUAAACCUUAGCACUUAGAGGGAAUAAAAGUCGUAACA
rnacentral:rRNA from 1 species